UAGCCCGAAGAAAUUUGGAUUAACCCCCCAUAGUAUUGAGAUAAGGCAUCUUAUUUCAAUUAAAACCACGGUGGUAAUAGAUGAGUAUGCGUCCUAUUAGUUUGUUGGUAAGGUAACGGCUUACCAAGACUUCGAUAGGUAGGGGUCCUGAGAGGGAGAUCCCCCACACUGGUACUGAGACACGGACCAGACUCCUACGGGAGGCAGCAGUGAGGAAUAUUGGACAAUGGAGGCAACUCUGAUCCAGCCAUGCCGCGUGCAGGAAGACUGCCCUAUGGGUUGUAAACUGCUUUUAUAGAGGAAGAAACCUCCCUUCGUGAAGGGAAUUGACGGUACUCUACGAAUAAGGAUCGGCUAACUCCGUGCCAGCAGCCGCGGUAAUACGGAGGAUCCAAGCGUUAUCCGGAAUCAUUGGGUUUAAAGGGUCCGUAGGCGGACUAAUAAGUCAGUGGUGAAAGUCUGCAGCUCAACUGUAGAAUUGCCAUUGAUACUGUUAGUCUUGAGUCAUUAUGAAGUGGUUAGAAUGAGUGGUGUAGCGGUGAAAUGCAUAGAUAUCACUCAGAAUACCGAUUGCGAAGGCAGAUCACUAAUAAUGUACUGACGCUGAUGGACGAAAGCGUA
rnacentral:rRNA from 1 species